GCACGGGUGAGUAACACGUGACUAACCUACCCUUGAGUGGGGGAUAACUGAGGGAAACCUCAGCUAAUACCGAUAAUACCUACGGGUCAAAGGAGCAAUUCGCUUAAGGAGGGGGUCGCGGUCGAUUAGUUAGUUGGCGGGGUAAUGGCCCACCAAGACUGUGAUCGAUAUCCGGCCUGAGAGGGCGCACGGACACACUGGAACUGAAACACGGUCCAGACUCCUACGGGAGGCAGCAGUGGGGAAUUUUGCGCAAUGGGGGAAACCCUGACGCAGCAACGCCGCGUGGAGGAUGAAGUCCUUCGGGACGUAAACUCCUUUCGAUCGGGACGAUUAUGACGGUACCGGAAGAAGAAGCCCCGGCUAACUUCGUGCCAGCAGCCGCGGUAAUACGAGGGGGGCGAGCGUUGUUCGGAAUUAUUGGGCGUAAAGGGUGCGUAGGCGGUUUGGUAAGUCUUAUGUGAAAUCUAUGGGCUCAACUCAUAGACUGCAUGAGAAACUGCCGGGCUUGAGUGUGGGAGAGGUGAGUGGAAUUUCCGGUGUAGCGGUGAAAUGCGUAGAUAUCGGAAGGAACACCUGUG
rnacentral:rRNA from 1 species